ACGCUGGCGGCAUGCCUAACACAUGCAAGUCGGACGGCAGCAGGUCCUUCGGGAUGCUGGCGAGUGGCGGACGGGUGAGUAAUGCGUAGGAACCUAUCCUUUUGUGGGGGACAACCCAGGGAAACUUGGGCUAAUACCGCAUAAGCCCUGAGGGGGAAAGCGGGGGAUCUUCGGACCUCGUGCUGAAGGAGGGGCCUACGUCCGAUUAGCUAGUUGGUGGGGUAAAGGCCUACCAAGGCGACGAUCGGUAGCUGGUCUGAGAGGACGACCAGCCACACUGGGACUGAGACGCGGCCAGACUCCUACGUGAGGCAACAGUGGGGAAUUUUUCCAAUGGGGGCAACCCUGACGAAGCAAUGCCGCGUGGAUGAAGAAAGGCUUCGGGUUGUAAAGUCCUUUCUGGGGGACGAAAAAGCGGAUCCCAAUACCGUCUGCUAUUGACGUGAACCCAAGAAGAAGCACCCGCUUACUUCGUGCCACAAGCCGCGGUAAUACCAAAGGUGCCAGCGUUAAUUCGGAAUACUUGGGCGUUAAAGGGCCCGUAGGCGGUGGGUUACCUCUGGCCUGAAAUCCCCCGGCUUCAACCUUGGAAUUGGGGUGGAAACCGGCUUACUUGAAUAUUGGAAAAGGGGAUGGAAUUCCAGUGUUACCGGGAAAUCCUAAAAAUUUGGAGGACCACAAUGGGGAAGGCGGUACCUUGCCCAAUCUUGACCUUAGGGCCAAAACUUGGGACAACAGGAUUAGAUACCCUGUAUCCCCCCUUAACGAUGAUNACUGGUUUUUGGCCCCUUAGGGGCUUAGUGUCGGUAGCUUAACCCGAAUAAAGUUUCCCGCCUUGGAAAGUACGGCCGCAGGGUUAAACUUCAAAGGAAUUGACGGGGGCCCGCACAAGCGGUGAAGCAUGUGGUUUAAUUCGAUGCAACGCGAAGAACCUUUACUUGGGCUUGACAUGUCCGGAACCCUGCAGAGAUGUGGGGGUGCCCUUUCGGGAAUCGGAACACAGGUGCUGCAUGGCUGUCGUCAGCUCGUGUCGUGAGAUGUUGGGUUAAGUCCCGCAACGAGCGCAACCCUUGUUCCUAGUUGCCAGCGGUUCGGCCGGGCACUCUAGGGAGACUGCCGGUGACAAACCGGAGGAAGGUGGGGAUGACGUCAAGUCCUCAUGGCCUUUAUGUCCAGGGCUACACACGUGCUACAAUGGCGCGUACAGAGGGAAGCCAAGCCGCGAGGUGGAGCAGACCCCAGAAAGCGCGUCGUAGUUCGGAUUGCAGUCUGCAACUCGACUGCAUGAAGUCGGAAUCGCUAGUAAUCGCGGAUCAGCAUGCCGCGGUGAAUACGUUCCCGGGCCUUGUACACACCGCCCGUCACACCAUGGGAGUGGAUGGUACCAGAAGCCGUUAGCCUAACCUUCGGGGGGGCGACGACCACGGUAUGGUUCAUGACUGGGGUGAAGUCGUAACAAGGUAGCCG
rnacentral:rRNA from 1 species